GCGGAUGGCCGGACGGUCGCCGGUGGCGGGGGCAACUCCGCUGCGGGAGGAAAGUCCGGACUCCACAAGGCAACGGUGCCGGGUAACGCCCGGCCGGGGCAACCCGAGGGAAAGCGCCACAGAGAACAAACCGCCCGGGUCAAUCGCUGACGCGAUGAACCCCGGGUAAGGCUGAAACGGUGGGGUAAGAGCCCACCGCGGGACGGGCAACCGGACCGGCACGGCAAGCCCCACCGGGAGCAAUGCCGAAUAGGGACCUCGCGCCCCGCGAGGGCAGGGCCGCCUUGGCCCGGAGGUCCGGGUUGGCAGCUCGAGCGGUUCGGUAACGGAUCGCCUAGAGGAAUGAUCGUCGGCACCGGGGCGACCCGGCGUCACAGAAUCCGGCUUACAGGCCGUCCGCGCAU
rfam:Rhodobacterales bacterium HTCC2654 1099457000270 genomic scaffold, whole genome shotgun sequence.